rnacentral:rRNA from 1 species
GCUCCAGACUCCUACGGGAGGCAGCAGUGGGGGAUAUUGCACAAUGGGGGAAACCCUGAUGCAGCGACGCCGCGUGGGCGAAGAAGUAUUUCGGUAUGUAAAGCCCUAUCAGCAGGGAAGAAGAAAUGACGGUACCUGAGUAAGAAGCACCGGCUAAAUACGUGCCAGCAGCCGCGGUAAUACGUAUGGUGCAAGCGUUAUCCGGAUUUACUGGGUGUAAAGGGAGCGCAGGCGGCACGGCAAGUCCGGUGUGAAAGCCCGGGGCCCAACCCCGGGACUACACUGGAAACUGCCGGGCUGGAGUGUCGGAGGGGCAGGCGGAAUUCCUAGUGUAGCGGUGAAAUGCGUAGAUAUUAGGAGGAACACCGGUGGCGAAGGCGGCCUGCUGGACGACGACUGACGCUGAGGCUCGAAAGCGUGGGGAGCAAACAGGAUUAGAUACCCCAGUA